CCUACGGGUGGCAGCAGUGGGGAAUAUUGCACAAUGGGGGAAACCCUGAUGCAGCGACGCCGCGUGAGUGAAGAAGUAAUUCGUUAUGUAAAGCUCUAUCAGCAGGGACGAAAAUGACGGUACCUGAGUAAGAAGCCCCGGCUAACUACGUGCCAGCAGCCGCGGUAAUACGUAGGGGGCAAGCGUUAUCCGGAUUUACGGGGUGUAAAGGGGGCGUAGACGGGAGUGCAAGUCUGGAGGGAAAGGCUGGGGCUCAACCCCCGGACUGCUCUGGAAACUGUACGGCUGGAGUGCAGGAGAGGUAAGUGGAAUUCCUAGUGUAGCGGUGAAAUGCGUAGAUAUUAGGAGGAACACCAGUGGCGAAGGCGGUUUACUGGACUGUAACUGACGUUGAGGCUCGAAAGCGUGGGGAGCAAACAGGAUUAGAUACCCUGGUAGUC
rnacentral:rRNA from 1 species